AGUUCUCAUUUGCGGCUGCCUUGGACUGGGCUGUGCUGGUGAUGACACAUGGAGGAUCAGAGGAUUAUGUUGUGCCCCUGUCCAGUUCUUGUGGAAAUGUGUUUUUCUGCAUUGCUUCUUUAAGAAAAAUAGAAUAUUUGAAGAGUACUGCCUGCAGCUACAGAGCUCUUGAAAUGAGCAGAAAGAUGUUUUAUCCAGUUACAAAGCCUGCACGUGGCUUCCUCCUCUGACGAGCCAGCUGAGCCAAAACAGUACCUCACUAAAUAGAAAAGCAGCCUCUGAAGGUCUAUGGAGCAUUGUACCACCCUCGUCACCAGGAUUUCCUGUAACUAUUACCCAGUAAUUCUUGUCUUCUUCAACUCGAUGGGA